AUUCAGAGGCCAUUUUCUCUCAGCAGGACAGAGAACAGAACCAGCAGCUGGACCGGGACUGACUGAAGAGCAGAAGAUGGAUGCUGGAGUGGAGGACGAGGAAGAAAAGGCAGACACCACAGGACUCAUGAAGUGUGACAGGUCCAGAGGAAGUCCUUCAGGUUUCAGUGGGGAACCUGGACCCACCAACAUAAAAGGUCACAACCACAAACCGAGAGCAGAACCUCCAGGCCCCAGCUGUCUGCCCCCGCCCAGUGACCACUCCAUAGAAGAACCUCUCAACUUCAGUAAAGAACCCGGACCCUC